rnacentral:rRNA from 1 species
CACGUAGGGUGCGAGCGUUGUCCGGAAUUAUUGGGCGUAAAGAGCUCGUAGGCGGUCUGUCGCGUCGGUCGUGAAAACUUGGGGCUUAACCCUGAGCUUGCGGUCGAUACGGGCAUGACUGGAGUUCGGUAGGGGAGACUGGAAUUCCUGGUGUAGCGGUGAAAUGCGCAGAUAUCAGGAGGAACACCUGCGGCGAAGGCGGGUUGCUGGGCUGACACUGACGCUGAAGUGCGAAAGCUAGGGGAGCGAACGGG